rnacentral:snRNA from 1 species
AUAUUCAUGUUGUGGUUGUCUUGGA